AGUGAACGCUGGCGGCAGGCCUAAUACAUGCAAGUCGAACGGCAGCACAGCAGAGCUUGCUCUGUGGGUGGCGAGUGGCGGACGGGUGAGGAAUACAUGGGAAUCUGCCCAGUCGUGGGGGAUAAUGUAGGGAAACUUACGCUAAUACCGCAUGCGCCCUUCGGGGGAAAGCCGGGGACCUUCGGGCCUGGCGCGAUUGGAUGAGCCCAUGUCGGAUUAGCUAGUUGGCGGGGUAAUGGCCCACCAAGGCGACGAUCCGUAGCUGGUCUGAGAGGAUGAUCAGCCACACUGGAACUGAGACACGGUCCAGACUCCUACGGGAGGCAGCAGUAGGGAAUAUUGGACAAUGGGCGCAAGCCUGAUCCAGCCAUGCCGCGUGAGUGAAGAAGGCCCUCGGGUUGUAAAGCUCUUUUGUCCGGAAAGAAAAGCGCCGGGUUAAUACCCUAGUGUCCUGACGGUACCGGAAGAAUAAGCACCGGCUAACUUCGUGCCAGCAGCCGACGG
rnacentral:rRNA from 1 species